GACCCUAUAGCUCAGGGUUUAGGGCGCUGGUCUUAUAAACCAGGUGUCAGGAGUUCAUAUCUCCCUGGGGCCU
rnacentral:tRNA from 1 species